AAAAUCUAUUUUUGUACAAUGCGCAGUCAUUGUUCAGAUUAGUCUACUUAUUUUGCGCGCACUAUAGACUUUGAAGUAUGCGACCAUGACAUGCGGCAAUUAGGAGGCGACGCACAGUGUUUUAUGUAGAAAUAUAUUAUGGAAAGCAUUUGAGACGCCUACGUAUACGAAUCUACGGCAUACCGUCGCUGUUGUGGUCGCUACCUCUAAAUCUACUUGUAGGCUGAGAUCUAUCGGGCGCACUUUGACUUUGCUCAGACUUAAAACGAGACAGCGUUAUACGGCUGGCAUAAAUCUGUCUCGUUUUAACUGAAACUUAAGUCUAAGCAGAGUCAAAGUGCGCUCUAUAGAUUUUAACCUUAGACUCACGCUGCACGCAACUUUUCAAUACAGAAAAACACGUGUUACUUCAAAUGCGACGCACACAUUAUAGAUAUUCUAAUGACGUCGACGACGACGUGAUGUUGACGGAUUUUUACAUCGCGGCCGAUGCUGCUGACAUCCGUACUGGAGUACGGAAUAAUACACCUUACGGCGCUUUUUAGAUCGAGCGUUGAUCGCUUGUAUUGCAUUCCAAUGUGAGCAAAGCCGUGUCUAAGCGUUCUAUAUCUAUUCUAGUCUGUUUUGAAAUGGAAUGAACUGGUUAGUGUUGGAUUUUUGUCUAUCGCAAUGAAAAAUUACAUUUUUCACAUAAAAUUUUCACUUUAAACACAUAGACUGGACUGGAAUUAUAAGAAGGCAUUCAUACUACGAAAAAUCUGCAAAGUAACUUACCUUUUCAUGUUGUUCCUUGUAUUAAAAAUCGGAUCUAGCGUCUGUCUAGGCCUUAAUAGUAUGAAGUAGUCACAUAGACUGAAUCCAAGAUGAAAAAGUUGGGAUUUAUUAUUGUAUCUCACUCUAACACCUUACGUAAUCUUGUCUCACUUUUGCAGGGAUUAUUGUAUACCUAAAAUUCUAAACGCAACACCAACACUCCUAUACUAAGACACUUUAAUCUUGAUACUUUUGCGUGACAAACGUAAGAUGUUCUAAAAUAUUAAAUUUUGGAAUGUAUUAAUUUAAAUAAUUGUUUGUAUCGUAUUGGUUGAGAAUGUAAUCUCAUUGUGAAUUUAUUAUAAUUAUUUAAUUAUUAAGUAAUAUAAUACUCGAAUUUUAAUCGACAUACAAAUGUAUGGACAAUUUUAUAUUAAAAUAUUUAUAAUGAACGUGACUUAAGAUAAGGAACAAGUAGCUAUUUUUAAAUAAAAAUAUUAUUACGAAACAAGCAUGUAAGUAGGUUAAAAUUCAUUUUUAAGAAUUAUAUUAUUAACCUAUUCAAAUUUUCUAAUAGGCACAGCUUGGGAGCUUUGGAUAACUCCAUUCGCAAAAUAUAAUAAUGAAAUUAAUAGUGGACUUAGCAGCUCUAUAAUCGUGCCUAUAAGCAUUUGAAUAGAGAGAUGUUAUUAAAUAAUAUUAAAGAGAUGUGUCUCUAUUUAUGUAUUUAAUAUCCAAAAAGCAGCAUUGAAUUAAACUUAAGGUGGCUGGUUGAAAAUUCACUAAAAUUAGUAUAAUAAUUAUAAAUAAUAAACCUCAUGAGUAGAGCACUGUAUUAUUUUCCAAAUUAUUAUUAAUACUGAGGCUAAGAAUUAUUUUUAUUAUUAGCCCUAAUCGAUAAUGCUAUUUUUUUUCUAGAGAUUAUUUAUUGUUCCUAUUUGGCUAUAUUCCAUUUGAUUCAGUAUUAUUUUUAACAAAUGGCUUAGUCUGUUGUGAACAAUCUCUAAAAUAGGUAAACUCAAAUGACAGCUCUAAAUGUGUUGCUAUUUCUUUCAUAAUGCUCGCUGCGGAGAAGGAGAUAAUUGAUAAAUGUUAAUUUAAUUUCGUUUUAGAGAUUGUACAACAGAAUUAUCCACAAUGUCAAAGUUUACGUACCAAAAGUGUAUACAGUCGAAAGUAUCGCGACCAUUGCAUCGGCCUACAUUGAAUUCAUGACACUAUUUGAGUGAUUUGUCCUAAAUUUAUGACUAAACUAAUAAACUUAUUAUCAUUAAACUUUUUAUUAAUAAACAAAAGAUUUAAAUUCAGUUUAUUAAUUUACUUGGGAUAAUAUAGAUUUUUAUCAUACUUUUUCUUUAUUAUAGGCCUUCAAGAUUUGACUGGCGUCAAAUGUGUGAUACUUUCCGAUUAUAAUAAAUAAUAAUUAAUUAUUAUGGAAUGGCAAAGUGUACACUUUUAUUUAUAGGAACUACUAAUAUUAACACUCAUUUCAAAUUAAUACACACUCAAUUAACAUUGUCUUAAUAAUUUAUGUGCAAUUUUAUUUGUAAAUAAUUAAGUAAAUAUUAUUUUUGGACCAUUUAUAGUAAAGCUAGUUUUUUUUGUAUAAUUUGUACAUAACAGUUGGUUCUGUAUAAAUAAUAUAAUUUUACAUUUUUUCUUUGUAUAUCAGAAAAGGAAUCAAUACAUAUCUGUUUAAUACAAUAAUUUGAAUAUUUAUAGAAAUAUGGACACGAUAUACAUUUUUUAUCUGUGACGUCAUUUGGAUUAUUUAGCAUCUCUGUGUACACAUUACACAAUUCAAAGAUUUCUCGAUAGAGAACAGUGGAAAAUACAAAAGAAUAGAUUAAAAAGAAAGCUGGAAAGGACUAAUUUUAGCCUUGAUUAUUUACUUUUAGAAGUUUUGACACCGUUGAUUUUUUUUAAUUCCUUCAUAAUCUAUACCAAAAAUAUUGUUUUAUUCUUUUCAAAGAGUGAUUGUGUACUGCUCCAAACAUAAUUCUCGAAAAUACGGUCAGAAAUAAGAAUAAUAGAAAACUACCGUACUUUCACCGAAUCCGUAUAGGGUUUGUGCACAACCAUCCUAAAGUUCUAGUACAAUAAUGGGGAAGAAAAAAAUAAUUUUACAAAAUCCUCUGCAUAAAAGUGUAUUUAAUAUUCAAAAUGAUCAUCAAACAAUUUUAAAAAAUACUCUGAAAACUUAGCGAAACUUGUGUGCGUUAUUUAUCUGUGUGUGUCUUUUGUAUGAUUAUUGUAACUGGUAAGCUUAAAAUUAUUUUAGUUUAUAAAUUUCGCAUCAAAAUAAGCAAUAAUUAAGAAUACUUAUUUAAAAAGCUUUAAGUCAUUCAAUUCACUUGUAUGUUUUGACUCGUUUCUGCUUAAAACAAACAAGUGAAAACAGAUGUUGACCGCAUUAAGAUCUUAGAUAAUUUUUCUCUCUUCUGGGCUUUAUAUGGUUUGAUUGCAACCAAAAUAAAACAUCUCUUUCACUAGUGCGCAGCGUAAAACUACCAUCCACACUGUUCUUUUGCGGCGUUCACAGAUUCGCACGCGAGUGAAGAACUGGCUUUAAGGCUUAGAUCUAUAGAAUGUACUUUGACUUUGCUCAAACAGAUAUCAGUUAAAAAGUUAAAACAGAACGGAUUUAUGCCAGCGAUAUAACGCUGUCUCGUUUUAAUAACAAAACAGUUGUAUGCCAGCGAUAAUAACGCUGUCUCGUUUCAAUAACAAAACAGUUGUAUGCCAGCGAUAAUAACGCUGUCUCGUUUCAAUUAUGUCUUUUUGAGCAAAGUCAAAGUGAUAUCGAAGUCUAUAGAUCUCAACCUAAGAUAUAAAGUACCUUCAAUAGUCUCCGGCCGCCAUGUUGGAGGAAAAAGGACGCAACACAUAAAAAACCUAAGAGGGUUAAAACGAGAAAGAUUUUUGUAUAAUGUGUCACAGAAUAAUUUUUUUUUGGAAUUCCCUUCAAGUGUAGGUAGUUAUGUAUAUAUGUAUGUAUGUAUGUAUGUAUAAUUCAUUAUAUUAUUGAUGACAACAAUUAAUGACUGGUAGUAAAAAAGAAAACUUAAAAUGUAUGUACAAAAAGGCGGUCUUGUCGGUAAUUAUAAAACAAAUGUAUCUCGUUUUAACUCUGUCUUAAGUUUGAAUUCAGUCAAAGUAUACACUAUAGAUCUCAGCCUAGAAACGUAACAAAACAUCUUUCAUAAUGUGUCAGCCCUAACUUCUCAGAGCCCAAGCUGACAGCUCUUAUAUUGAACUGGAUAAAUGUUGAAAGACUUGAAAACUUGAAAACUUCAUAGUUGAAAACCUUGGUAGUACUAAGGUAUUGUUUAGGGUGCUCGUUAAUAAACUUGUCUAAUUCUAAAAGGCCUAAUAUUUUAAUUCUCUCUAGCUAGUGUUAAAUCUUGAAACUUCUCUUGACUCAGAAUCUGAGAAGAUACUCUACUUUUCCCAUAGCAAAGAUACUUUAUAAAAAAUAUCCAUGUACUCACUAUAAGGCUGGCCGCACUUUGGAUGCGUUUUCGUACGAAUUUUACUCGUUUACGAGUGCGAAAACGUUAAAACAUGCAUGAAAAAUCUCGACUAAGUGUUAGUGCGUGUUCGGACUUGAUCGCACGAAUCGAUUCGUACGAAAACGCACUCAAAAUGCGGUUAACUUAAUAUUUACUUUUUUUCUCCUUUUUAGUAGGUUAUAGUUGUGUAGCUUUAAUUUUUGCAUAAUAACUAAAAUAGCAACUAUUUAUAAUGACUCGAAACGCUCAAAUCUAUCGGUCUAAUUUGUCUAUGCGCGUAUGUUAUCGAUACUCCGUUAUUUUUUACUGUCUAACUAAAGCUGAUGAGAUUUUUUUACGUUUUUAGAUAUCUGCAACUCUAUGGAAAGGCUAUCAUAUUUAUUGUUUUUUUUUUUCUUUAAGUAUUAAGUAUUCGAUAUUAUGCGCGUUUAGGCUUUCAUUUAAAUAUAGGGAUUUGUACUUACCAUUUUUAUUUUUUGUUCUCUGUAAAAAGUGUUUCUUAUAAGUUGUAUGAUAUUCCAUGGUUGCUUUUUUUAUUCACACACAAAAACAUUUUAGUUUAUAUAGUUUUAAUGUGAUAUGAUAAAAAAGUGUCCCAGUUUAUAUUAUAAAUGUGUAAUAAUUAUAAUUAAGUAGAUAUAAGCACCUAUAUUAAGUUAGAUGUUUAUGGCAUUGUAUUUUAAUGUCAUCACUCAUCAUAUUAUUUAUUAGUAUAAUUUUCUAUACUUACUUAGUUAUUAUCAAAGCAAUACAAUUAUAUAUUUUAUUAAAUUAUAAUUUAUGAAAAUUAAAACAAGUAUCUCUUAGCUACAAAUGUAACUAAGCGUGUACUAAGUAAGAAAGUGAAUUGAAAUUAUAUGUAUAACGACAUAUUUAUACUUAGUUUUUUUUUUAAGUGAACAAGAAAAAAAUAUUAAUAUGUAGAAUGUCUCCGAUCAGAUUUAUGUAAUUGAUGCGUUAAGUUGCAUUCAAACUACGGAAUAUAAUAUUAAUAUAAUAUAUAAAUAUCGCUAUAUACUUUUAAAUGUCACUGUUCACACUUAGAUGUAAUAUAAUAUAUUAAUAAUAUUAUAUAUAAUAUAUAUUAUAUUAUAUUUCCGUAGUUUGAAAUCAGCUUUAGGAAUAAACAAUAUACCUAGGUAUAGGCGGUAGGUCACCAUGCUUGUUGCGAAUAGAGUGGAAUAAAUUUAUGUUGGAUGAACUAUGGAUUAAUUUAUAGUUUCUUUUAGUGUCGUUCUAUCUUUGGAACGUCUCACAUUGUUAAACCCUGAUCGAUUAAUAUAAUGAUAACGUUCACACUCAGGACAAACGUCGUAAGGCAAAAAAAGGCACUAAUUUUAUUAUUAGCCUGUGAUCAAUAAAGUACCUUCUUCGACUUUGCUCAGACUAUGAGACAGAUUUAUAUGAGACGUCAACCUGUCUCUUUUUAAUCGUGUCUUAAGUCUAAGCAAGGUCAAUUAGUGCCUUGGUAUUGGUCUAUACAUGGUCACUUAAGUUGAGAUCUAUAGAGCGCAUUUUGACUUUGCUCAGACUUAAGUAUCAGUUAAAACGAGACAGAUUUAUAUCAGCGAUAUAACGCUUUCCCGUUUUAACUAUAUCUUGUGUCUCAGCAGAGUCGGCCGUCGUCGUGGACCCAACUCCAACUCCUAGAUCUAUUGUUUGUUUGUUUGUAAAGUUUGCUCUAUAUAUUAUGUCAGCCAUAGUGCCUUUCUAUACGUAUGCGCUAGCUUACCACCUACCAACCAAUUUAAAAGACUGGCCGACUCGGCGUAUGUUCUAAGUAUGAACUUACCAUAAUAGUAAAAGUACCUAAGAUUUGUAAAACUAAUUGUUGAGUGAUUUAGUCUUAAAAAAAAGAUUCCGACGAAUUGAAAACCUCCUCCUUUUUUUGAAGUCGGUUAAUAAACAAAAGUUAUGAACAAACUGUAACAUCGAAAAGCUUGGAUUUUAGCACAGGGGUAAAUAUUGUGUGUUGCAAUGAUUGAAUAGUUUUGUAUUCAUCCUAUUUUUUUUUAUAUUAUGUAACCCAGUAAAAUUAUGACAGUCUGAUCAAUAAAUUAUUACACACCAAUCAAUA